GCAGAGUGGCCUCUGUGGCCAGGGAGCCGCAGGCAAGGGACUAAGGGGAGGGGGGCUCAGUGCCAGCUGCUUAAAAAUGCCCCUGUGGCAGCGAGGGGCACCAGAGGCUGGGUCUAAUUAGUUGAGAAGCAGUGACACCCCCAACCACUCCCCAAACAGGCUGGCUCCCGUCUCCAGGCCCCAAGGAGCCACACCUGGACCAGACCCCAGGAAAGGCAAGGGCGCUAGCUGGUGGGAGCCACCCCGCCAUGCUGAUGUCAGAGAAGCAAGAACUCUGGAGAAGCAGCCUCCUGGGACCAGAGGAGGGCCAGCAGCAGGCAGCCCGGAGACAGAACUCUCACCCACGCCUCUCCAAGCCUCCCAACAGAAGACAGAGGUCCCCCACAGCCAGAGACAUUUCCUGAAGACAUGGGGAACACAGAGGCAGAAACAGCCCAUCCACCCAGGAGCUGUCCCCCACACUGCCGGGAGCCGGCACCCAGAGCCGCCAGACACAAAGGAACAGAACGAGGCACCAACAGCAAGGGGCAAGCAGAUUCAAGGGCCACAGAGGAGAUGGAGGCAAACACCUUCCCCUGGUCAGAGGCUGUGCCUCAGCCCUUCUCCCUGCAUCAGUUUCUCCUUCAGAAGCAUGGGACUACCUCCCAUCUAGUUCUCGUUUCUAAACCUAGGGGAGAUGCUAUCUUUGCUGCAAUAAUCUUAGCCUACAUCUUGGAAUGGAAAUGGCCUUGGUGGAAAUGGUCUUCAACUCCUCUGGUCCAAGCUCAGGCCCUGUGACCCUGGAACAAUCCCCUUCCUGGUCCUCCAUGUAGGAGCAAUAACAUUCCCUUGCCAGCAGCACCAGCCAUUCUGAUGAUUAAAUGGUAUCGGACUCUGUUUUCCAAACUCAGUCAUUCAGAUGCCCCCUAUUUUAUUUCUUCCAUGUCUGCAAAUGAUUAUAAUAUUUUUAAAUGUAGGAUGAGUCCUUUUUAUUACACAUAGAAAUAGCUACUGUAAAUAGCAAACUCUAACACUGUGCCUAAUUAGGAAAUAAAGGUAACCAUAAAUACAGUAAAAAUGAAACAAUGUUAUUAUGGUUUAACCUGAUAGUGUGGCUUGCAAGGCCCUGGGCCUGAAGCCUGGGCAAUAAGUGAGAGUUAGAAAGGUGUCAAAGACAUGAUAGCAGCAAACUGAGGCUUUGUACCCCACGGUAAAUAGGACUGAAAGCAAAUUCACAGGGAGCAACUGAUCCAUUCCACAACAGAAUGCUCCCUGUCAAUUCGCUUUCCAUUCUGUUGUGUCCUGUCUCCCAGCAGAGACUACAAACUCCCCAAAACCACUUACCCACCAGCUGCACGUGAGAAGCCAAAGGUAGUUUAUGUGAAAGGGCUUUGGAAAUAAUCACGCACCAAGUGAAGGCAGAGGACACACCUUGUCAGCUUAGUUCUCAGCAGCAAAUCAUCUCUUUUCCAGGAUAACCCUCCCUGAUUCUUAUUGAAAUCUCUUUGCUGACCACACUAAGCUCUUCUCUCUCAGGGGCAGUGGGAGCCGUGGAGAGUGGAAUAGACCAGCUGUCUGUGACCUGCGAGGGAGUCCAAUGUCGGAAUCACUCCCCAGCCAAAUGCACGGUUUUAAAAAAUCUAUUUAUUUAUUUAUGUAGAGACCAGGCUAUGAGACUGGCUAAUUUUUCGUAUUUUUGGAUAGAGACAGGAUUUCAUCGUGUUGCCCAGGCUGGUCUUGAACUCCUGGGCUCAAGCGAUCCACCUGCCUCGGCUUCCCAAAGUGCUCAGGAUUACAGGCGUGAGCCACUGUGCCCAGCCACCAAAUGCAGUUGAAAAGAGUUUCUGCAAGAUAAUUCCACAGAAGAGGAAAGCAGUUAUCUGGCUGGGAAUACCUUAGACAGAGGCUGUCCUCUACACAGGCUGUCAGAACUGACCUACUGACCUGCCUGCUGGCAUGAUAGACCAGAGGGAAACACUCUUUCCACUCUUCCCAGACUGAGUGUAAGAGACAGACUUUUUUUUUUUUUUUUGAGACGGAGUCUCACUCUGUCACCCAGGCUGGAGUGCAAUGGCAAGAUCUCGGCUCACUGCAACCUCCACCUCCCCGGGUUCAAACCAUUCUCCUGCCUCAGCCUCCCAGGUAGCUGGGAUUACAGGCUCCCGCCACCACGCCUGGCUAAUUUUUGUAUUUUUAGUAGAGACAGGGUUUCACCAUGUUGGCCGGGCUGGUCUCGAACUCCCAACCUCAGGUGAUCCGCCUACCUUGGCCUCCCAAAGGGUUGGGAUUACAGGUGUAAGCCACUGCUCCCAGCCUUUUUUUUUUUUUUUAUUAGAGACAAGGGCUCCCCAUGUUGCCCAGGCUGAUCUUGAACUCUAGGCUCAAGCGAUCCUCCUGCCUGAGCCUCCCAAAGUGCUAGGAUUACAGGCAUGAGCACUGCUCCCAGCUCUGUUUUUGUUUUUUUAAGGAGGUAUAUUUUUUCUGUUCUCUCUCAGCCCUGAAGAAAGGCUACCCAUCCCCUUCAGACAUUCCUGAAAAUAUAUGUCAUCCAACAUCAAGGCCACCACAGUGACCACUAAGCAAUGCAAGAAGGUCCUCUGGGGUGCCCUGAGAUCUUGGCAGGGCAGGAAGAGUGAGAAGGGGCUUUGCCUGCUCACCUGAAAGUUCCCACCCAAGCCGGGCCCAGAAAACAAAAUGAAUUAUCUACAUGGUCAUCCAAUCAGCCACCAAAUGGCAUUACCUAGGUCCAUCAUCAUGUACCAAGCCACAGGUCAGACCCAGGGCCCCCCAAAUUAACAAGACACAGGCACUGUCCUCAGGAAGUGGAGAUCUAGCCAGGUCAGACCCACACACAAAUAACACUGAUACUAGAGAUAAUGAGAUUGGGAAUUAUGAUUCAGCCAUUCAACCUGGGCUUAUGUGGCAUCUACACCACCUGGCCCUGAUUUCAGUAGUGAGCACAGUUGACAGGGUCCCUUCCCUUCACAGGUGAGCCAUGUAGUCCACAAGUGGAGGUGGUCGUAAGUGAAAACCACAUUACCAGCAUGGUAAAGGGUUAGAAAGAGGGCACCGGGUGGGCGAGAACAUGAAGCAGGGGGUGCUGAUGGCUAAAGAAGUAAAGGAGGGGCUGGGCACUGUGGUUCAUGCCUAUAAUCCCAGCACUUUGGGAGACCAAGGCGGGUGGAUCACCUGAGGUCAGGAGUUCUAGACCAGCCUGGGCAACGUGGUGAAACCCUGUCUCUACUAAAAAUACAAAAAUUAGCCAGGCAUGGUGGUGCACGCCUGUAGUCCCAGCUACUUGGGAGGCUGGGGCAUGAGAAUUGCUUUAACCCGGAAGGUGGAGUUUGCAGUGAGCCGAGAUCGUGUCACUGCACUCCAGCCUGGGCGACAGAGGGAGACUCUGUCUCAAAAAAAAAAAAAAGUCAAGGAGGGUUUCCCAGAGUGGCCACUUGAUUAGAGACCUAGCACAGGAGGAAGAGAUGGGCAGGGAGAGUGACGGGGAGCAGCACAGUCCCUGGGAGCCCGAAGUGGGUGGGCACAGGGCUCCCUAGGAGAAUGGAAGGACAUCUAUGAGCUGUAGCCCAAGAGGAAGAGGUCACUGGGGCUAGAUGCGGCAGACCCUCGCAGGCUUUGGGAAGGGCUUCAGAAUUCAGCCUGAGGGCAAUGGGGAGCCCUUUUGGGAUAUUAAACUUGAGUAAGAUAUGAGCAUAUUUGCAUCUUGAAAAAUCAUUAUGGGAAGAUGGCUGGGAAGAGAGGAGGAGUGGCAGAAGAAAGAUAGGUUGGAGACAAUUGAUUGCUCGAUGAUAUAAAAUGUUAAGUACCAUGAAUGAUGCUGUUAGGCUGGAAUGCGCCAAGCAUAAAGGUGGGGCAUGGCAUCAAAAGGUAGGUCAACAUAUUAAAUAAUUCCAUGUAUUGAAAUAUCCAGAAAAUAUAUAGACAGAUCUAUAGAGAUAGAAACUGGUCUGCCCAGGACUAGGGGUUGUCUAAGGAUAAGGAGCUUCUUUUUUGGAUGGUGAAAUAACCUAAAAUAUAUUGUGCCAUUGUUUGCACAACUUUGUGAAUAUAUUAAAAACCUGUUAAUUGUACUCACUAAAUGUCCUCCUUCUAAAUUAAGCUGUUCUUGACAAGAAAAGGAAAGAAACAAAGAAAAGAAGAGAAAAAAGGUCAAGGUUUGGUCCUGGGUGCUCAAAUGGCAGGCCACAGACAGGAAACACAGUUGUGAGGAAUUACAACAGCCUCCCGGCCAGAGCUGGAGAGGUGGAGCCCAGGUCCCCUCUAACACCCCUUCUCCUGGCCAGGUUGGAGUCCCGCCACAGGCCACCAGAGCGGAGCAGCGCAGCGCCCUGUCUCCCAGCCUGAGGUGCAGUGCUGCAUCUCUGGUCAGUUGGGAGUCUGAGAUGAAGCACUGUAGCUCAGGAAGAGAGAAGUUGUUCUGCAGCCAUCAGCCUGGAAGUGGUAAGUGCUGGGGGGUUGUGGGGGGCCAUAACAGGAAGGACAGAGUGUUUCCAGACUCCAUACUAUCAGCCACUUGUGAUGCUGGGGAAGUUCCUCUACACAAGUUCCCCUGGUGCCACGAUCUGCUUCACGAGUCUGGGCAUGUCCUGACUCCUCUGUGUACCCCAGUGUGUCCAUCUUAGCAUGAGGCGUUAGCAUUUCCCCAGCACCCUGCCUCUGCUUUCUCUUUCUGAGCCCAUGGCAGACACAGCUAAUCAGUAAAGGCAUAUAUUCUUUUUUUUUUGAGACACAGUCUCACUCCAUCACCCAGGCUGGAGUGCAGUGGCAUAAUCUCAGCUCACUGCAACCUCCUCCUCCCAGGGUCAAGCAAUUCUCGUGCCUCAGCCUCCCAAGUAGCUGAGAUUACAGGUGUGCGCCACCACACCUGGCUAAUUUUUGUAUUUUUAGUAGAGAUGGGGUUUCACUAUGUUGGCCAGGCUGGUCUCAAACUCCUGACUUCAGGUGAUCUGCCCGCCUCGGCCUCCCAAAGUGCUGGGAUUACAGGCAUGAGCCUCCACGCCCCGCCAGGCAUCCAUUCUUGAAGUGCUCAGAUGCAGCUUCAGAAUCCUCAACAAUGAGCCCUGGAAAGCCACUAGUACUGAUUCACAGCUGAAACUCAUUCAUCAUUUGUGGAUCAAACAAUUCCUAAAAACCCUUUCAGCCCUGAAGAUAAAAAUUCUGGCCUUUGAGUCAGGGUCUUCACUCUGUACUUCUAACCUUGGCUCCGGGGUAUUGCCGAAACCAGUCCAGGCACGUCACAAAUGUCUGACUUCUCCCAGAGGCUUCAGAAGCACAAUGAGCAGCAGAGGAGAGCCAUGGAGCCAAGCACAGUCUCAUUUAACCUCCCCAAAAGCUUGGGAAGUGGGUGGUGUUAUAGCCCCAUUUUACAGAUGAGAAAAACUGAGGCUUAUUUAAGCAGCUCACCUAAAGUCACAUAUUGAUUGUGCUGAGCUGAGAUUGUACCCUAAUCUGCCUUCAAAUCCAUGUUUUUACCCAUUGCAUGUGAUUAUGGAACCUGGGACCGAGGAGCAGGAGGAGAACAUUCUAAAUUCUGCUCCCAUCUUGUCUUUACAUCUCAGGUCACUUUUAGCAAAGACAGACCCGGACACUUGCCAUUAAUACUACAGGCUUCCUUCCUCCUACCCCCUUCCCCCAAUCUUAUUCAUCUCACCUCUCCAGUAGGUCGUGGACUCAUGCAUUUUAUAAUUAAAGAAGGCCAAGGCUCAGGGGUUAAGUGACUUACUGGAGGUUAUCAGAGAGGAAGUUGCCAAACCCAGGCUAGGAACUGAAUGGUUGGUUUAAAUCCACCCCUCUGGCAGGAGACUGGGGAAUACACAUGAGCCGUGCAGACAGCAGAGGGCAGUCCUGGGGGUGGGGGCGCCAGAGGGUUUCCGGUACUUUUCAGGGCAAUUGAAGUUCCGGUCACUACUCCCCCCCAGAGCAAUAAGCCACAUCCGGCGACGUGUGGCACCCCACCCUGGCUGCUACAGAUGGGGCUGGAUGCAGAAGAGAACUCCAGCUGGUCCUUAGGGACACGGCGGCCUUGGCGCUGAAGGCCACUCGCUCCCACCUUGUCCUCACGGUCCAGUUUUCCCAGGAAUCCCUUAGAUGCUAAGAUGGGGAUUCCUGGAAAUACUGUUCUUGAGGUCAUGGUUUCACAGCUGGAUUUGCCUCCUUCCCACCCCACAGUUGCCCCCCAAUGGGGCCUCGGCUGGCUCACAGGAUGAGGGUUCAAGAAGAAGGCUGUCCCUGGAGGUAAGAGGGCUUAUGAACCAUGUUCCAAACCUUUGCGUUGCUUUUCUUUCCAUCGUGUCUAUUUCAUAACAUCCCUGUGAGGCUGGAUGUGGGAACUUCAGCACUGCCGUACUCUUGGGAAAUUUGUCCAAGGCCACCCGGCUGAGCAGCGGUUGAACCAGGACACCAUCAGGCAUGCGUUUCUUGUCUCCACCACACCCUCAACCCACUUCCCAACGCGCCUUGCGACAGGGGCUGCGGUAUUGCAUCCACAUGACUGAUAAACUAGUAAACACACAUGAAUUCAUUUUAAAAGUGUAUUCAAUCAGUUAGGUAAACUAAAAACCUUAAGUCUUCGUUCGAUUUGGAAUGCAGCCAGAGAACAAAUGGAAAAUUUUUCAAGGUAGAGAAGAUGAAAACUCAGAACGCCCUCUUGUGGCAUCUCUACCCACCCUAGGAACACUAUGGCUCUUCCCCUACACAUGGUGAUUGCUAACCUUGCUACAAGACGUUGGACACACACACACACACACACACACACACACACACACUGAGGUUCCUUUUGCCCCCUCACUUUUGAGCCAGUGACUACUGAAACCCUCUCCAUUGUUGCACCACCAGCAAUGCCCCCAUCACUUCCUCUCAUUUACUUCCACAGGCUGGUUCAUCCUCAAAGCCCUCCUUACGUAGAUCUGUGGGAUCAGUGAGGCUCAGAGAGGUAAAGUGGCCAGCCCAAGGUCGCCCAGACAGCAAAAGGCAGGGCCAGCGCUGAUUUCAAGUCCAAUGGCCUAUGGCAAUUUCUUAGCCAAAAGCAAAAUCUACAAAAAUAAAAAGUCAGGCACAGUGGUGAGUGCCUACAGUCCCAGCUACUGAGGAGGCCGACGGGGGAGGACCACUUGAGCUUGGGAGUUCCUGGCUGCAGAGAGCUAUGAUUGUGCCUGUGAAUAGCCAAUGCACUCCAGCCUGAGCAAGAUAGGGAGACCCUGUCUCUAAAAAAUACCUAAAUAAUUUUAAAAGUCAGCCUCUCUGACUGCCUAUAGAGAAUGCUAACUAACUGAAUGACAGAAGACCUAAUGUAAUCCAGGUGCAAAAUCAGAACUUUCCGGCCGGGCGCGGUGGCUCACACCUGUAAUCCCAACACUUUGGGAGGCCCAGGCGGGUGGAUCACGAGGUCAGGAGUUCAAGACCGGCCUGCCCAACAUGGCAAAACCCCGUCUCUACUAAAAAUACAAAAAAUUAGCUGGGCAUGGUGGUGGCCACCUAUAAUCUCAGCUACUCAGGAGGCUGAGGCAGGAGAAUUGCUUGGACCCGGGAGGCAGAGGUUGCAGUGAGCUGAGAUCGCGCCACUGCACUCCAGCGUGGGGGACAAAAGCGAAACUCUGUCUCAAAAAAAAAAAAAUUAGAACUUUCCCCGUACUCUUGCUAGGGCUUUUCAUGGAGAUGUAGAAAUGGUAGUAAGUGCCAAGGCCCCAGAACCCUCAUGUUUGGGUCCGACUCCCACAUUGCCAGAGACUAGGCAGCUCACACAGGUGUCCCAAGCUGUCUUUCUCACAGGCCGCAUUGAAGGCAUUUAUGAAAUGAGACCCCCUCUUCCUCAUCCGUAGUGACAGGGCUGGCCUGACCGUGGAGAAAUCAGAUUUGAUCAUGAUAGCUUCCACUCCGUGACUGGUCACGAUCUGCCAGGCGCUGUGCUAAACACUUUCAUAGGCCUUGUCCCCCUCCAUCCUGAUAACACCCCAGUGAAGCAGGCCCUGCUCUUCACUCCACUCCACAAAGCCAAGGCUGAGAGAGGUUAACAGACUUACCUAAGGUCACACAGCUAAGAAGUCGUGAAGCUGGGAUCGAAUCAAGUCUGUGUUUAUGGGUUUAACUAUCAUGUUGUGGCCCCAACCCCAUUUGACCUAGCCUGGCUGGUGGGCCUUCUUGCAGUAGCUUCCCCUGGAGAAGAGGAAAAGCAAACCUUCAUUGAGACCCAAGCGGUCUCUCCUGUGCUCUGUGACAAUAAUAAAGUUCCAGCCCUUGG
rnacentral:lncRNA from 1 species